UGUGAGCAUUGUUUUGAGUGAUGAUUUAUUACAUGAUUGCUUAGUGCCGUAUGUUGAAAAAGAAAUUUUUGAUCAAGUUUCAAAUGAAGCAAUUCUACAGCGAUUUCAAAAAAUGAGAGAGCGUAAAGGAGUAUU